rnacentral:rRNA from 1 species
AUUGAACGCUGGCGGCAGGCCUAACACAUGCAAGUCGAGCGCGAAAGGCCUUCGGGCUGAGUAGAGCGGCGGACGGGUGAGUAACGCGUAGGAAUCUACCCGGUAGUGGGGGACAACUUGGGGAAACCCAAGCUAAUACCGCAUACGCCCUAAGGGGGAAAGCGGGGACCUUCGGGCCUCGCGCUAUCGGAUGAGCCUGCGUAGGAUUAGCUAGUUGGUGAGGUAAGGGCUCACCAAGGCGACGAUCCUUAGCUGGUCUGAGAGGAUGAUCAGCCAAACUGGGACGGAGACACGGCCCAGACUCCUACGGGAGGCAGCAGUGGGGAAUAUUGCGCAAUGGGGGCAGCCCUGACGCAGCCAUGCCGCGUGUGUGAAGAAGGCCUUCGGGUUGUAAAGCACUUUCAAUGGGGAAGAAGAGCGUACUGUUAAUAGCGGUGCGCCGUGACGUUACCCAUAGAAGAAGCACCGGCUAACUCCGUGCCAGCCGCCGCAGUAACAC